UAAUACUUAAAACUUAAAAGACUUGACGGUACUUCAUCCCGACCUAGAGGAGCCUGUCCNAUAACCGACAAUCCACGAUUAACCCNACCCCUUCUUGCCCCACAGUCUAUAUACCGCCGNCGNCAGCUUACCUUGUAAAAGAAAUAAAGUGAGCUAAACAGUAUAACACUAAAACGACAGGUCGAGGNGUAACUUAUGAAGAGGACCNAGAUGGGCUACAUUCNCCAACCAAGAAUACGNAUAACACUAUGAAANUA
rnacentral:rRNA from 1 species